rnacentral:rRNA from 1 species
UUGACCUCAAAUCAUGCCGUAGGACCCUGCCC